GGGCGAUCGCCAGGCCGAGCCCGUCCGUGGCCCUCUGCCGCGGUCGAAAACCAACCCGGGGCCAACUUCUAAGUCAACGAGGGGCUGUUUUUACGUGCAGCAUCGAGUGGUUCUCAACGUUGGAAAGUCCUAACGUCCCAAGAAAGACACCGGCUACUCAAGCUGCCGGGAGCGCAGGCCUGCUUAGCACCACCUUUGGAACCUCCAGCAUCUCAGUGGCGAGAUGCCCCCAACCUGCGCCGCUAAAAGUCGAACAACGCCGGUGCGCGGGGCUCUGGCAAACCCUGGGUCCCCAGAAUGUUGCUGAAUAAUGCAAAUUCCUCUGCAGUUACCAAUACUGGUCUCAUUUAUGUUCACUGAAUUUACAGUGAUUAAGGCUAACUCAGUGGGUGUAUCAAGAAUGAAUAAUCAGAGAGCCAGAACCCACAUGACAACCUCACAGGUAUGCAAGACAUUUGUCAAAUCAUACAUUCAUACUAGGAGGUGGCUGGAAACGGAAGAGAGUUUGGGAAAGAAACAGACGUUCAAUCUGCGCCUGAUAUGUGCCAGACACAAGGGUCACAACAAUUCCAUUUCACAGCGCCAGAUAUGGCAUAGUAAUCCAAAGCUACAUAUUAACCAGAGAAGAAUGGCAACAGAUAACACUGGAGAAACUGCUCGUUAAGUGGCACUGUGGUGAUGUCAGGAGGAAAGAGUCACUUGAAAAGAAAAUGACAAAGAGUUCUGCUUCCAAAGUCGACUUCCAGAAGCUGUCUGCCUGUCUGCCACCCUAUCGACCAGCUGGUGCAUAAGCUCUAUAUUCAGUAAAGCAACUCCAAAAUUGGAUUUAACUGCUAAGUUAAUUUUCA